CAGCAGUGACCAUGUUCAGCCAUUAACGUGCUAACCAGAAAGGGUCAGGCGCCUGUAAUGUGGCAGGAGCAGACAAAGUUCUUUGGCCAAAGGGAUUGAAGUACUGAAAGGAUUAACGACUUCCACUAAUUGAAGAAUCAACUGAAUGGCACCACCAUCAGAAUAGAGCCCGAAGGGAAACAUGACUGAGAUCCAGUUCCAGGCAGUCAACCCCGACCAGAAGCAGGGGCAUCAGAAGGUCAAUCCGCAGCCUGACGCCACGUCAGUGAAGUCACAAAGUCUGCGACACGCCCCUCACUUAUCCCAUUCGGUGACGUCACAAAGUCUGCGACACGCCCCUUCCGUGAUCCCUCACACAGGCAUUUUAUCAUCUCACAUCAUCACAGGAGGGGUUUAUUUGGAGAGAGAGCAAGAAGGGAAGGGGCAGAGAGAGGAAGAGACAGAAUCCCAAGGAGUCUCUCCACAGUCUCUGCAGAGCUCAGUCGUGGGGCUUGAACUCACAAACCCAUGAGAUCAUGACAUGAGCUGAGAUCAAGAUCAGAAAGCUUAGCCAACUAAGCCACCCAGGCACCCCUCAACAUUGAUCUUUUGAAUUACUCACUUUGGAUGAAACCAGUUGCUAUGCUGUGGUCAAGCAGUUCUGUGAAAAGGAACUGAGAUCUCCCAUGAAGAGCCAGCACCAACCAAAUGAACACCUUGGAAGUGGAUUUGCAACCAGGGUCAAGCCUUCAGAUGACGUCAGCCCCAAAUGUGGACAUCUGACAGUAACUUCGCGAGAGACCCCAAACCAGAACUGCCCAGCCAAGCCACACCUAAAUUCCUGACCCACAGAAAUACAUGCGAGAAUAAAUGAUUACAGUUGUGUUAAGCCACUAAAUUUUGAAGUAAUUUAAUAUGUAGAAAUAGAUCAUUUGUACAAUUGGGAUCAGAACUCAGAUUUGUCUGACCUGAGAACCAUAUCUCUUACUAUUUUUUCCCCCCUUACUACCUAUGUUAUAAAAUAGCUUGUCUUGCUGAGUGUGACUCAAACAGUAGCCCCAGGAGUAAAGUAUGGAAUCCAGGAGAGUAUUUGAUUCUAAAACCACUCAA